GGAGGCAGACGCGGCCAUUCCUGUCUGAUACUUGGGGCUGUAGCUGCUGCAAUCCACUCAGGCCCUCAGCUCUAGUCCAGGAUUCUUCCUGUGUUGCCCAGGUUGGCCAAGAACGUCUGUGUUCAGGUGAUCUUCCUUCUGGAGCAGCUGUCAGCCCGCAUCACUAUGCCUAAGUUAAAUGUUUUAUUAAGUUAAGGAUAAAUCAACAAUCAAAAAAUAAGUGGACAUGGUUGGGAACACCUGUAAUGCCAGAAUCCAGGAUGUGGAGGUUGCCAGGAGUUCCAUCAGAUCCUGGACUUCAUGUUGUUCUUAGGAGUGAGUUGUGGUGGAGACACAGAGUUCUGGAGAUCCAUGCUGAUGUCUGCGAAGGACCCAAAGAUACAGAAAACUCAGGCCUGCUCCAACUGAGCUGCAUGUUAGACUCAAUGAUGCAGAGGUCACACCCAGGGACAUGGAUGUCAUCGCUUUAGACUGCAGCCAGGAUGUGGGACUUUCAACACAGCUGCCCAGAGGAUUCAACAGGCAACAGAUUUGAGAACCACAGGCUCAACCCAAAGUUCAUCCUAAAGGCUCCAGGAUGACAAAAGACGUUUCCUUUCUAAACACCACUCACCAACGCUCCUCUCCCAACUCCAAAAUUAAAACUCUCCUCUUACUCUAAGAAUAGAAAGUAGGGAUCUGGUGGUUCUUGGGUAUAAUUGAGUUUAAUGUAUAUUUUUUUCUCUAAAAUCUAAGGUGAGAGUCCUUAAAGCCAUGAAUCCAAGCACACAAGGUCCAAGAAGACACAGGAAGUUCAGUAUUUCCUACUUAAAACUAGAACUGUUGGUGGAGAAGCUUGGCAGAACCAGUGCUGCAGAGGACCUUCCCUGAAAAGUGAUAUUCUGCUCUGAGACAAGCUGUACACAGGCAGAAACACAAGCCCGGUGUCACCUAGCCUCUGUGACAGUCCCGGCAGAUCACUUUAGUGCCACCCUCCUCUAGAGAGCACACUAAGUUGUCAGUGAUGGGAUGGAUCUUGACCUAUUGUCAUUCUUUGUUUAUUGAUUUUUUUCCCCUUUAGUUUGAAAGCAAAGUUUUUUUCUUCAAAAGGGUGGAUCUCCAUCUAAAACUAUCAUUCAAAAAUUCAUUCAGUAUUUCAUGAAGGAGCCGAAAUGUCUAACUCACCAAACAAAGACCGUCUACCUCACAAGUCACGCUGUUUGGGCUUGGACGCUGUAGGUUAAAACUUCCAGGUUGUCGAAGAGAAUAACAGAUUUGAAUCAACUCAAGUUCUGUGUCUUGUCUUUGUAAUCCCGGCAAUCACUGUUUAUCCCACAUCUAUUAUUUAAGAGUGUGUCAGGACAUGAGGCCAAAGACAGAACUCCAAGGACCUUUCAUGGCUCCAAACCUCCAUAAGCAUCCUGUGCACAUUGUCUGUCGUUGCCUUUGUGUGCAUGACCGUGCGAUUUGUAAAUUUAUCUCCGUGUGAAAUAUGUUUGUUUUGAAUAAUAUAAAUGUGCUAAUUUGAAGCAAAUGUACUUACUAAUUUAUUUAUUUGUUAAAAUGCAUUCCUUCAAACACAGACCAAGUGAUUUGAGGGGUAGGAACAUCUUUUCAUUGUAUGGCUGGCGAGUGGUGAUAAUAAAAAGCAGACUGACUUCAGUC
rnacentral:lncRNA from 1 species